CCUCACUCGAGGAUUUACUGUCAUUAAAUUUUUUGUUUUGCUGACGGCGAAAAAAUAGAGCUACUGAAAAAACGGGGAAAACUGAGGAAAUUGAAGCACAUUAAAGAUGCUUAUCGAAACUAAUCACGGAGCUCGGAUUAUAUCUAAUCGGAUGCAUGGGGAAUGAAUCUAUUGCAUGGCCACCAACAAAAUCGUUCGGCAGCAGGCCAGAUCAGAAUUAAGGCACCCCUCUGCCACGUACAUUCAUCUCGUAUUGAAUGACAUUUGAGGAUUGAUAGCUGUCGGACGAACUCGUCUUUGCAGCAAACUUGUGGAAGUUUCGGCUAAUCCCAGAGCACCAUCAAUCAAAGUAUUCAACGCUUUCGACUGAGGCAGACCUGUUUCUUUUAUAAUAUGCGUGAAUAAUGAACACAAAACAGAAUCAUUACUUUGAAAUACAUGUAAUGUUUUAUUUUGACAUACUCCACUUA